GCAAUCAAGUCAAAUUGCUCUCUCUUCGAUAUUACUUUGCUUCACGUCUCAUUCAUAUACUGCUUAUACACUGAAAUCUGAGUAGGGAUUGAAUAUCGGUGAUGUUGGGCGCUUUAAGGAGAAAAGUCGCGAGCGGAGGCUCAUCAUCUUUGGUAUUAGGGAAGUCAUUGCUGGCGAUUCGAUCGGGUGUUUCAGUAUCUAGAGUUUCUUGUAAUGCUGGAAAAGAGGCCUUGCAAUAUUAAAAUGUUGAUAUAAAGUAAAAGAAGUGCAAGAUCAUAUGAUACUAUUACUUCAACCGAGAGGAAUUGCCCAUGUCCGAAACUUCUCUCAUCUUGUUCUGCCAGGGAUGUCAUUUCUAGCAUGCAGUCAAAGGCUAUCAUGCAAAAGUUGUGCAGGGCUUUCUCUUCUAGAGAUGUUAUCAGUUGGGCCGCCCAAGAGGUACUACGUCAGGCAAUAUGUCAAAAGAAGAAAAUAGUUUUAGUUCAAAAUUUCUUUUAAAAUCUUUCUCUGGAAAAGUGUGAAUGCAAUAGUUUCAAAACUUUGGCUGCAAUUUAGUUGUAUAAUGAUUUGGUGUAAACUUUGGUGGUACUAGACUUGCACCUCCGCCAUUUUGGCAUUUUUAGUGCAUUUUUCACUUUCAAAAAGUACAUACUGAUUAGGAACAGGUCUGCUUGAAAAUAAAGAUGAAUUCCCUUUUAUGUUGUAAUUAUGUUAAAUUUAAAGAUUUUGACUUUCCUAUUUUACUUAACUUGUGAUGAAGGGGAUCUGGUUGAUGCUGUGGUCCCUUUUAUGGGAGAAUCAAUUACUGAUGGCACUUUGGCAACAUUCUUGAAAAGUAUGUUUUCCACUAUUGUAAUUUCCAUUCAUUCACUAGAAAUAUUCGUUUUCAGGGUUGUAAGUGUUUGAUUGUGUAUGUAUCUGAAAUUUGAGAG